rnacentral:rRNA from 1 species
UACCAGCACCCCGAGUGGUCGGGACGUUUAUUGGGCCUAAAGCAUCCGUAGCCGGUUCUACAAGUCUUCCGUUAAAUCCAACUGCUUAACAGUUGGGCUGCGGAAGAUACUAUAGAGCUAGGAGGCGGGAGAGGCAAGCGGUACUCGAUGGGUAGGGGUAAAAUCCGUUGAUCCAUUGAAGACCACCAGUGGCGAAGGCGGCUUGCCAGAACGCGCUCGACGGUGAGGGAUGAAAGCUGGGGGGAGCAAACCGG